rnacentral:rRNA from 1 species
GACGAACGCUGGCGGCGUGCUUAACACAUGCAAGUCGAACGGAAAGGCCCUGCUUUUGUGGGGUGCUCGAGUGGCGAACGGGUGAGUAACACGUGAGUAACCUGCCCUUGACUUUGGGAUAACUUCAGGAAACUGGGGCUAAUACCGGAUAGGAGCUCCUGCUGCGUGGUGGGGGUUGGAAAGUUUCGGCGGUUGGGGAUGGACUCGCGGCUUAUCAGCUUGUUGGUGGGGUAGUGGCUUACCAAGGCUUUGACGGGUAGCCGGCCUGAGAGGGUGACCGCCCACAUUGGGACUGAGAUACGGCCCAGACUCCUACGGGAGGCAGCAGUGGGGAAUAUUGCACAAUGGGCGGAAGCCUGAUGCAGCAACGCCGCGUGCGGGAUGACGGCCUUCGGGUUGUAAACCGCUUUCGCCUGUGACGAAGCGUGAGUGGCGGUAAUGGGUAAAGAAGCACCGGCUAACUACGUG